rnacentral:rRNA from 1 species
UAAUACGGAGGGGGCCAGCGUUGUUCGGAAUUAUUGGGCGUAAAGGGCGCGUAGGCGGCCUGUCAAGUCAGACGUGAAAUCCCGCGGCUCAACUGCGGAACUGCGUUUGAAACUGACAGGCUUGAGUCCCGGAGAGGAUAGCGGAAUUCCCAGUGUAGCGGUGAAAUGCGUAGAUAUUGGGAGGAACACCAGUGGCGAAGGCGGCUAUCUGGACGGGUACUGACGCUGAUGCGCGAAAGCGUGGGGAGCAAACAGGAUUAGAUACCCUGGUAGUCCACGCUGUAAACGAUGGGCACUUGGUGUUGCGGGUAUCGACCCCUGCAGUGCCGAAGCUAACGCAUUAAGUGCCCCGCCUGGGGAGUACGGUCGCAAGGCUG